GACGAACGCUGGCGGCGUGCCUAAAACAUGCAAGUAGAACGCUGAAGAAAGGAGCUUGCUUCUUUUGGAUGAGUUGCGAACGGGUGAGUAACGCGUAGGUAACCUGCCUUGUAGCGGGGGAUAACUAUUGGAAACGAUAGCUAAUACCGCAUAACAGCUUUUGACACAUGUUAGAAGCUUGAAAGAUGCAAUUGCAUCACUACGAGAUGGACCUGCGUUGUAUUAGCUAGUAGGUAGGGUAACGGCCUACCUAGGCGACGAUACAUAGCCGACCUGAGAGGGUGAUCGGCCACACUGGGACUGAGACACGGCCUAGACUCCUACGGGAGGCAGCAGUAGGGAAUCUUCGGCAAUGGGGGCAACCCUGACCGAGCAACGCCGCGUGAGUGAAGAAGGUUUUCGGAUCGUAAAGCUCUGCUGUAAGAGAAGAAUGUGUGUGAGAGUGGAAAGUUCACACAGUGACGGUAACUUACCAGAAAGGGACGGCUAACUUCGUGCCAGCAGCCGCGGUAAUACGUAGGUCCCGAGCGUUGUCCGGAUUUAUUGGGCGUAAAGCGAGCGCAGGCGGUUUAAUAAGUCUGAAGUUAAAGGCAGUGGCUUAACCAUUGUUCGCUUUGGAAACU
rnacentral:rRNA from 1 species